rnacentral:rRNA from 1 species
GACGAACGCUGGCGGCGUGCCUAAUACAUGCAAGUUGAACGCUUCUUUCUUAUCGAACUUCGGUUCACCAAGAAAGAGGAGUAGCGAACGGGUGAGUAACACGUGGGUAACCUGCCCAUCAGCGGGGGAUAACACUUGGAAACAGGUGCUAAUACCGCAUAAUGCUUUUUCUCACAUGAGAGAAAGCUGAAAGGCGCUUUUGCGUCACUGAUGGAUGGACCCGCGGUGCAUUAGCUAGUUGGUAGGGUAACGGCCUACCAAGGCAACGAUGCAUAGCCGACCUGAGAGGGUGAUCGGCCACACUGGGACUGAGACACGGCCCAGACUCCUACGGGAGGCAGCAGUAGGGAAUCUUCGGCAAUGGACGAAAGUCUGACCGAGCAACGCCGCGUGAGUGAAGAAGGUUUUCGGAUCGUAAAAACUCUGUUGUUAGAGAAGGAACAAG